CUGACUCCCACUCCAGUACUCUGUUCAUUAGACCACAAACUUGUAAAAUGAGUGGAAUCCCCCACUCUUUCAAUGUAAAACACUGAAUAGCUGGGCAGGGAAGCAAGAGUUAAUCAGGGCUCCUUCUUCACUGACUCCCUGCCCAGGAUGACUGCUGAGACUAUCUAAGAAACAAGGACUGAGAGGGGGGAGAAGAGCUGAGCCUGGACCCGAAAAGGUGUCUGGCCUGUGAAAGAAAUGCCUAAAACAACAUUUAGGGAAGUAGGCAUACGUUAAUGCAGAAAUGAGAGAAUCCAAAUCACAUGGUUUAUUCCCAAGAACAACAUGGACUCUCCCAAGUCGUUUGCUCCGGUUCUGAAACAUAUAAGACCAUUUUAAAAGUGAACACAUGACCACAUCCUAAAAAUGUGACACUAGCAAGCAAGCAACCACAGUGGCGGUCCCAGCAAAAGGCCUAGCUUGAAUAGACACAGAGAUUAAACUCCAGCUCCAACUUCAGCUCCAUAUGAUUGCUC